rnacentral:lncRNA from 1 species
CCCUAGCCCGCCUUCCCACGCGGUCUCUGGGCUGGUUGAGCUGCGCCGCUGCAGGUAGUGCUGAGUUGCUCCAGAUUGGAGAGGAUGAAGGCCCUGAGGUCCAAGAACAUGGAAACCUGACAGUGGACGCCAACAGCUGUGGAGAGAAGCCGGGCGACAGCUGUGGAGAGAAGCCGGGCGAUAUGCUCACGCUUCCGUGUGCCCAGCAAUCCUGCUUUAUCUUUUUAAAUAAAGGUGAUUCCUGAUAACACUA